rnacentral:tRNA from 1 species
GAGGGUAAAGCUCAGUAGUUGGGCGCAUGCUUAGCAUGUAUAAGGUCCUGGGUUCAAUCCCCAGUACCUCCA